ACCGGCAAACGGGUGCGGAACACGUACGCAACCUUCCUUUCAGCGGGGAAUAGCCCAGAGAAAUUUGGAUUAAUACCCCGUAAGAUGGUGGUGAGGCAUCUCACAGCCAUAAAAGCUCCGGCACUGAGAGAUGGGCGUGCGUCUGAUUAGGUAGUUGGUGAGGUAACGGCUCACCAAGCCGACGAUCAGUAACUGGCGUGAGAGCGCGACCAGUCACACGGGCACUGAGACACGGGCCCGACUCCUACGGGAGGCAGCAGUAAGGAAUAUUGGUCAAUGGACGCAAGUCUGAACCAGCCAUGCCGCGUGGAGGAUGAAGGUCCUCUGGAUUGUAAACUUCUUUUAUCUGGGAAGAAAUCACUUUUUUCUAAAGGUGUUGACGGUACCAGAUGAAUAAGCACCGGCUAACUCCGUGCCAGCAGCCGCGGUAAUACGGAGGGUGCAAGCGUUAUCCGGAUUCACUGGGUUUAAAGGGUGCGUAGGCGGAAUGGUAAGUCCGUGGUGAAAUCUCCGAGCUUAACUCGGAAACUGCCGUGGAUACUAUCAUUCUUGAAUGUUGUGGAGGUUUGCGGAAUAUGUCAUGUAGCGGUGAAAUGCUUAGAUAUGACAUAGAACACCGAUUGCGAAGGCAGCAGGCUACACAAAUAUUGACGCUGAGGCACGAAAGCGUGGGGAUCAAACAGGAUUAGAUACCCUGGUAGUCCACGCCCU
rnacentral:rRNA from 1 species